GACGAACGCUGGCGGCGUGCUUAACACAUGCAAGUCGAACGGAAAGGCCUGCUUUCCCUUGUGGAUUGCGGGUACUCGAGUGGCGAACGGGUGAGUAACACGUGAGUGAUCUGCCCCCAACUUGGGUAUAAGCCUGGGAAACUGGGUCUAAUUCCCGAUAGGACUGCAGGGUGGUGCCUGUGGUGGAAAACGAUUUUCUAGUGGUUGGGGAUGAGCUCGCGGCCUAUCAGCUUGUUGGUGGGGUAAUGGCCUACCAAGGCGGCGACGGGUAGCCGGCCUGAGAGGGUGGACGGCCACAUUGGGACUGAGAUACGGCCCAGACGACUACGGGAGGCAGCAGUGGGGAAUAAUGGACAAUGGGAGGAAGCCUGAUGCAGCGACGCCGCGUGGGGGAUGACGGCCUUCGGGUUGUAAACUCCUUUCGACCGCGAGGAAGCCACCUGGUUGGAAGGGUGGUGACGGUAGUGGUAGAAGAAGCACCGGCUAACUACGUG
rnacentral:rRNA from 1 species